CUCAAAUAUAUAUACACAUAUAAUAAAAUUUUAUUAUUAUUUUUUUAAUUAUAAUUAUGCACGAGAUUAUUUUAAAUUGUUUUUUUUUAUUUUUUUUUCUCUUUGGGAAGUGUGUUUGUAAAUUUUAAAAUUAAAGGGGUGAUUUUUUUUAACUCGUGGCGCGCCCUCCCGAACUUCUAUCCCCUACUAGAUAUACAGUAAUAACAUUAUUCUGUCGUAUUCUCGCCGUAUUAACCAAAUCUUCCGUUUCUCUCCCCAUCUUGCGCCCUCCUAACCUCUCACUGCCCAGGUGAAAGCGCAGAAUUUGUAGGCUGGCAAGGUAGGCAAACGAUCUUCAGCUUUAUUUUUUUUAAUUUUGUGUUUUAUUCUUUUCUUCUGUCCGUCUGAUGAUUUACGUCCCGUACGAGCGUGUGUGUGCGUCUGUUUGUGUGCGUGUCGGGGGUGAUGCGCGAGAGGGCGCCGAUCAAAUUUCUGGCGCGACGCGACGCAUUAUUUUGCUUCCAUUCUAUACGUGGCAUGUGGGUAAAAAUAGGCCGCGCUGUGUGUGUGGUGUGUGUGUGUGUAUAUAUAUAUACAUAUGUAUGUAUAUGUA
rnacentral:lncRNA from 1 species